UACGUAGGGGGCUAGCGUUAUCCGGAAUUACUGGGCGUAAAGGGUGCGUAGGCGGUCUUUCAAGCCAGAAGUGAAAGGCUACGGCUCAACCGUAGUAAGCUUUUGGAACUGUAAGACUUGAGUGCAGGAGAGGAGAGUGGAAUUCCUAGUGUAGCGGUGAAAUGCGUAGAUAUUAGGAGGAACACCAGUAGCGAAGGCGGCUCUCCGGACUGUAACUGACGCUGAGGCACGAAAGCGUGGGGAGCAAACAGGAUUAGAUACCCUGGUAGUCCCUGA
rnacentral:rRNA from 1 species